UGGACGGCUCGCUGCCCACCUCCCUCAAGCACAUCAUCAGCAACGCCGAGUACUACGGCCCCUCGCUGUUCCUGCUGGCGACCGAGGUGGUGACGGUGUUCGUGUUCCAGGAGCCCUCGCUGCUGUCCUCGCUGCAGGACAACGGCCUCACCGACGUCAUGCUGCACGCGCUGCUCAUCAAGGACGUGCCAGCCACGCGGGAGGUGCUGGGCUCUCUGCCCAACGUGUUCAGCGCGCUGUGUCUGAACGCGCGGGGGCUGCAGAGCUUCGUGCAGUGCCAGCCCUUCGAGCGCCUCUUCAAGGUGCUGCUCUCACCUGAUUACCUGCCCGCCAUGCGGCGGCGCCGCAGCUCCGACCCGCUGGGUGAGACACC